UACCAACCUCAAAUUGCAUAGUUUUUAGCGGGCCACCGCGAUGGCAACGCCGUCGCCGCCGCCGCCGCCAGCGUUCGUGUACCGGAUCAACACGGGGGAUGAGUGGGCGGAGCUUCAGCGCACCGCUCCACCGGCUGCAUCCACCUCAGCGACCUCGGUCAGGUUCAGGUGAAGAUGGCGCUAAAGAAUUAUUUCCGUGGGCAAAAUGUUCUAUGCCUGCUACAAGCUGACACUGCUAAGAUCACAUUCAACUCAAACGGAUGACACAGAAUGCAUGUACAUACGCACCUGAGCAAGAACUCUUGUGGCAAGUUUGCGGCAGAUGGAAGAGUCCAUGCCAUGAGCCACUGCUUCCACUGCAGUUGCCAAAGAAAAAAAAGCGUCACGAAGACUGCCGGAAGAGUCGUCGUCGAAUGAAACGAUGUCGAUAAGCUCUUCAAGAUUCUUUGUUGAAUCCUUUGUGCCCCUGCAAUGCGUGCACACAAAUGUUACUUUGAUCAUCCUGGCAGGCAGACCCCGGAGAGGGAAAACUACGAAGCUGCAUUCAUACCCAGUAUGUCUGAAGUGAGAGGUCACCGCCUCGGCAAGCACCCACGUGCGAGCCCAUGCUAGAC